CGACGAUACGCGAAGAACCUUACCCGGGUUUGACAUUGUAUCGAAGCAUCCAGAGAUGGAUGUGUCUCUUCGGAGACGGUAUGACAGGUGCUGCAUGGCUGUCGUCAGCUCGUGCCGUGAGGUGUUGGGUUAAGUCCCAUAACGAGCGCAACCCUUACCGUUAGUUACCAUCAGGUUAAGCUGGGGACUCUAGCGGGACUGCCACCGUAAGGUGAGAGGAAGGUGGGGAUGACGUCAAAUCAGCACGGCCCUUAUGUCCAGGGCGUACACACGUGUUACAAUGGCCGGUACAAAGGGCAGCUACUUCGCGAGAAGGAUGCUAAUCUCGAAAGCCGGUCUCAGUUCGGAUCGAAGUCUGCAACCCGACUUCGUGAAGCUGGAUUCGCUAGUAAUCGCGCAUCAGCCAUGGCGCGGUGAAUACGUUCCCGGGCCUU
rnacentral:rRNA from 1 species